rnacentral:tRNA from 1 species
AGGAAUUUAGGUUAACUAGACCAAGAGCCUUCAAAGCCCUAAGUAUG